AUUUAAGUAGUUUAUUUAAAAUAAAGAAUUGUGGUUUCUUAGAAAUAUUUAUUGUCUUAAAUU
rnacentral:tRNA from 1 species